GGCUAGCUCAGUCGGUAGAGCACCAGCCACUUCAAGAGCGUGGGUUCGAAUCCCACCGCUGCCA
rnacentral:tRNA from 1 species